GGAUCCUUAGCUCAGUUGGUUAGAGCAACCGGCUCAUAACCGGUCGGUCCUGGGUUCGAGUCCCCGAGGAUCCACUA
rnacentral:tRNA from 2 species